rnacentral:lncRNA from 1 species
GUAACCAAUGGUGCUACCGCUGCUCACCAGGUACCAGCCCAGCUCGCUGUCCCAUGCCUCGACGUGAUAUUCCAUGACCCUUUGUCCCAUGUUUACUGGCUCUCGGAUCUCCAGUACGUUGAACUUUGAGACCUUGCCAAGAUCAAGCUCGAUCCAGCCGGUCGACUCCCCUUGCAUUGGAGCCCAGAAAGUUUCCAUUCGGCCCGAACGAAGAGCUGCGAACGCUGCUUGCUGUCACGGACAAGGGAUUCGCUGCUAAGUUGACGCUGAAGAUGGAAUCUAUGGCGGAGCUAAACCGCUCCAGCGUCUGGAAGUCGGAUUCGUCGAUCAGUCCCGACGAGUUUGGAGGGACGUUGAGCAGGAGCAAGCAGUUCCUGGCGGAUGAUUUGUAGAAAACGUCGAGCAGCUGCUCCAGGGAUUUUGGAGCCUCGUUCCUGUGCCAAAACCAACCGGGCCUGAUGGAGAUAUCGCACUCCGGAGGGAGCCAGUCGGUUCCAGCACUCUCUCCAGACAUCAAGUACCUGUUGAUGUUGCGAAUUGGAUCGAGUUUCACGAGAACAAAAGUUUCAUGCAAGGAUGGAUUUUACGUACUGGCCAUCGCUCCUGCCGAUCGUGAUGGAAGAUCUGUUCGCCAUCGCCCAGCAUGGUUGUCCGGCCUCGCCAUACUCAUUCCCAACCCAUCGGAUGUCAGGGCCAGCGUCGGAAAAGAUGUUGGCACCGGGUUGCAGCUGAUGAAUCGUGUCAAACCAGAGCUCAAAAUCGUAGCUCAUGUUCACUGCAGUGGGUGAUUUCGCACCAUCCAGCCACACCUCGGAGAUCGGCCCAUAUCUGCACGCAAAACAAAAUGCCGCGUCAAGGCAUCUGCUGCUAGAGAUGAAAACUACAAAAGCCCACAAGCUCGCGAGCUCCUAAUGCUAAAACCGUUUGAUGGGCUGGAGCAAAUGCAAACAUAUCACACAGUGAUCAUGCCACCAAGAAAAAUGCGUGAAGAAGAAGUAAAGAAUGUCUCACUCACCCAGUAAGAAGCUCUGGGAGCUGAGCCAAGUAGAACUCGUUGUAGAGAAGAGUGUCGCCAUAGCAGCUCUCGUGCAAAUCCCAUGGCGAGAGAUAAAAGCCCACGUCCAAUCCACGCUCCCUGGCGGCGGCCACGAACUCGGCCACCACAUCCCCUUCCCUCCUCGCCAAGAGCUGCUAGCCACGGAGAAAUUGGUGUAGGCCGAGGGCCACAGGCAGAACCCGUCGUGGUGCUUGACCGUGAGGAUCACGAGCUGCGCGCCCGCGGAUUGGGCCGCGUCCAUCCACUGCGACGCAUUCAAUCGCUCCGGGUUGAAGAUGGAGGGCGAUUCGUGGCCGGAUCCACGCUCCGAGUCCGUGAAUGUGUUGACGCCGAAGUGGAAGAACAGCGAGAGGCGGCGCGAGUGGAACUGGAGCUGGCGCCAUGAGGGAAUUGGGCGGAGAGGGAGCGGUGGGGGCGAAUUUAGGGCGACAGCUUUCAAGAACACUAGUAUCUCGAGGAGCAAGAAAGACAGAUGGAAAUUCAUUGCUAUAGAGAAUGGAGGAGAGAGCCAAUCUUAUAAGCCCAGUGGAGUAGUGGAGUAGAGGAAUUCUCACCAGAGAGUAAAAUCUUUGCUUCUUCCAGGGUGUCCUUGUUCUUGCAAGGCAAGAUGGAUUAUCUUCUUCUUCUUAGCCGUGAUCUCCAAGCUAGAUUGGAAUGUUCUUUCUCCGUCCAGGAUUCUCAAGAGCUGUGGAGGUCGCGCCCGGAUUCUCGCAAAGAAUACCUCGCGAAUCGCGAAUGCGUGUGAGAUCCAGCAAAGUUUAUGGCAUUGCUCUUCCCCAAUUUCGUGAUUUUUACAGACACCUCAGAGGAUUGCUUGCUCUCCUGGGGAGCACUGCUCAAGAACUGCCGGGAUCUGUCACAGGGGACGCAAAUCCACGCCCGCAUUGCGCAGAGCGAGCACCGCCGCAACAAAUACCUCGCGAAUCUGCUCGUCCAGAUGUAUGGCAAAUGCGGCAGCGUCGAUGACGCCCGUGCAAUCUUCGAAUCCAUAGAGAAUCAUAAGCUCUUCUCCUCCAACAUCAUGAUCCGGGCCUACGCACAGGCGAAAGAUCUAAAUCGAGCGCGCAGAACGUUCGAUGGGAUGCUCCGGCGAGAUGCCUCGACGUGGAACUCGAUCGUCACGGCAUAUGCCGACAACGGGGAUCUUGAUAAACCGCAAGAGGUUUUCGAAUUGGCUCCAGAGAAGAACGAGAUCUCUUGGAAUGUGAUGAUCACGGUUUGCAUCCGCAGUGGAAAGAUAGCUUCUGCCAAGGAUUUGUUUGAUCGGAUGCCCGUGAAGACGAUCGUUGCGCAGACUGCCCUCGUCACAGCAUUUGCCAGGAAAGGCCAUUUGGAUGAAGCCGAGGCUUCGUUUGAGAACAUAGAGGAGCGCGAUGUAGAGUCAUGGGCUUUUGGCUCUCGCUGUCUACAGACAACUCCAACCGAACAGCAAAUGCAGGCUGGGCAGUCUUUUUCUCUUGAGUUGAUACAAACGAAGACUUUCUGGCGACAGGCAACUGCAUUUGAGGUGAAAAGGCUACUGAUUGCCGGAAAGCAGAAAGAGGCUUUACGGGCUGCUCAAGACGGGCAACUUUGGGGAUGUGCUCUUCUUAUGGCCCGGCAGCUGGGAGAGAAGGUACCUUGUCUUGGAGCUUUGAUGUAUAGACCGUUAGUGAUGGUCUUGUGGUUUUUAAUAGUUCUACACCGACACUAUAGCGGAGAUGGCUCAACGUCAGUUUCAACCAGGGUUUCCCCUCCGAACUCUAACUCUUCUUUAUGCUGGUCAACAUGCCGGAGUGUUCGUAGGGAACACUAAUUCGUCGAACGUAACAGCGCUUCAACCUCAACCGGUUCCAGCGUCCGCUGUAGAUGGUGCAACACAGGUGAAAUACUUUUAUCAAGCUACUCUCUUGCUUUAAGGAGUGCAUGUUGACUUGCAGGACGCAGUAGAAGGAAUGCUUGAAGAAUGGCAGGAAAACCUGGCUAUAAUGGCAGCUAACCGAACUAAUGGGGACGAGAGAGUGAUUAUGCAUCUUGGUGAUUGUCUCUGGAGACAUCGAGAUGAGGUAUAUACAUGGUCACACGUUGAUGUUUCUCAUAGUUUUAACUUGCAGAUAUGUGGAGCCCAUAUUUGCUAUCUUGUUGCAAAUGCUAGUUUUGAGCCUUUCUCCCCUUCUGCCAGACUUUGUCUUAUAGGUGCCGACCAUUGUAAGUAUCCACGCACGUACGCUAGUCCAGAAGCUAUCCAGGUAAGCCGUGUUUGUCCUCAAUAACAAUUGUUAACCUUUUCUUCAUCAGCGAAUGGAAGUGUACGAAUUUGCAAGAGUGACCGGCAAUUCCCAGUUUAUUUUACUUCCUUUUCAGCCAUACAAGCUUAUUUAUGCGUCGAUGCUUGCUGAAGCUGGAAAGAUAAACGAAGCUUUAAGGUUGGUAGUGAUUUUUAACUGUAUCCUUAAGGUUUCUCUUCAAAGGUAUUGCCAAGCGGUGUUGAAAACAUUGAAAACAGUGGGCCAUGCAGCUGAUGUGUGCAAAGAAGCGGCUGUACCCUUGGAAGAGCGUCUUUGUAUUCACUCUCAGGUUUGUAAUCGGACACACGGCUUUUAUACUCACUUUCCUGUUAUCCAGGGAGGCUCGACGUCAAUUGUGCAACAGUUUUUUGGCAAUAUUGGUCUACACAAGAUGACAGGCCCUUCUUCCCCGAAAGCUUCUGAUAUGCUGAUAUUAAUAACUGUCCCGCAACAGCUUCUAGCAGAAGCAGUGUAUCACUUGCCUUGUCGGCAUCAAUAGAACCCAUAAGUGAUAAUACGAGAAGAUCCAACAUGCCAGCGAGAAGCAUUUCUGAGCCUGAGUUUAGGCCUGCACAGGUAACUCGACUUGCUCUUGUGUACCUUCGAUUAAGACUUGUAUUCUUUCAUCAGAUCGUUAGUCCAGCGAAAGGAAUGCCAAACAGAGGCGUCUUUACUUCUUUCGUGCAAAGAGCGAUGGGCUUCAUAAAAACACCUUCGAAGGAGGUUUGUAGAAGCUUUGGAAAGAGCGCUAGCUGAUUGAUGGUCGGUAUGUGAUGCAGGCAAAGCUUGGCGACAGCAACAAGUUUAGAUACGACGAGACACUGAAGCGCUGGCUUGAAGAACGAGCCAAGGCACAAGCGCCAGAGCUUCCGUUGGCUCCUCCUCCCACGGCAAACAAGCUCGUCUCACGCGUGGAGGAGAACGGCGCUCUUAUUUCCAUGUCUCCGGAGAGACCACCGCCAACUUCGGAAAGGCCGCAACCGGUUGUGAGUGGAAUCCCACCAAUGCCUCCGAGCAGUAACCAGUACGCAGCUCGCGCACGUCAAAACGUUAGAUCAAGGUACCGUUUUGGUCAUUCGCAGCACUCCAAUCUCACGAGGUUUUUGCAGAUAUGUCGAUACAUUCAACAAAGGUAGCGUAACACCAUCCAAGACAUCAUCGGACUCUCCUCCACUGUUUGGCGUGGUGCCAAAGGCAAGCGCAAAGCCUUUGGCUCCAGCGAGAUUUUUCGUGCCUGCGGCCGCUGCUGCCGCUGCUCCAGAUAUCAACAGCAACCAUUCGGUGGAUCCUUCCUCGGCACCGGCCUUUGUCCCCGACACGGCAUUCUCAAACGGGAAUGGACCGUUUGCACCAGCAGCAUUCGCUCAGCCGGUUGUACAGGAUAUGAGAAACGAUCCGGGGCCAACGCCUGAUCAUCUAUCGAGCGGCUCUUCGCCAGCAAUGUUCUAUUCGAAUCACUAUCCAGCAGCACCGUCGACCGUCUCGUUGCCGCCACCUGCAGCUCUGGAAGUUACUCCGCCAGUGAUGGUCGAGCAGCAGCAGCAAAACCAACACCAGGAAAGUUCGAUUCAUCGGCACCUCAACAGUCCGGCACAGUGGGAUUCGAAGCUGCCAGUUUCUUCGGAGUGUUUGGAGACGACUUGCAAGAGGUGGAAUUGUAAAUCACACUCCACAAGUAAGUAGUAGUGACUGUUGCUGGGUGGAUUUUGGUAGAGCAGUGUAGCGAAGUAGUAGUCGUGGAAGGAGGAAUUUUUUUUGGCUGGGGUGAUUCUUUGGAGCCACGAGCGAAGCGAGGAAGCAAGAUAAAUAAAAUGGAUCAAACAAUAUAAUUCAGGAAUUAAAUUCUAUAAAACAAUAAAAUUUAAAAUGAAAACGGUAAAAUAUAACAUAGAAUAUAAAUAGAAUAAAAUAGAGUAAUAAACUACAACAUAUGCAACAUAUACUCUUCAAUAAUAAAUUUCAAGCCAUGAUUCUCAUUAUAUAAUCUUGUAAACAAAAUUUUGAUAAAUACUAAAAAAUUCUAGUUAUCUCAUUUUUUGAAAAAACUUUUUAUGGAGUUUCUUCUUGAACUAUAUGACAACAUUAAAUAUCUGUACUACAUUAUUUAACAAUCCUGCCUAAAUUCAAACAAAACUGAUACAAGCUAUUAGUAUCAUAACACUACCCUUGCAUUUCAAAUUCUUUGUCAAGCUUGCAUUUUAAAUUUUCCCCCUCUUAGCCUUAUGCUUUUUUCUUAGGUUUUAUUAUUUAGGUUCUCUAGGGUUCACCACUACUGGUUCAUGGAUCACAUCUUAGGAGGCAUUUUUCCUUCCUCUCUAGCACAUCCUAAGCAUAUAUCUCUCCCACACUGUUUUGGUUUGUUUAUAGCCAUGGUAAGUUUUUCUUUCCUCAAAACAUAUGGUUUCCAUUAUUAUAAAGAAUAUACAUUCGUAUUUUAGUAUUGCUUGGUGUGCGACUAUAUGAUAGUGUAGUGUAUUUACAAGAGAGUCAUCCCAUACUUGUUUAUAGGCAUGAGAGCACAUGCCUAGAAAUCUCAAAACAAAAGAACAAAGAUUUACAAGAGAGAGUCAUCCAAAACUGGUCUAUAGGUGUACAAGUGCACGCCAAGAAAUCUCAAGUUUCUUUGGAGAAACUCAAAUUUGAGUUUGGCUAGGCAUGAGCCCACACGCUAGCUUAAAAAAACAAAAGACCAUGAGAUAGAGAGUGUUGGAAAUCCUUACAUUUUUGAAGAAUGAGUGUGAGACCAUGCUUGUUCAAAGUUAAGUAACCCCCAUUUCUCUGGUCAUUUUACAAACUUGCACUUACCAAUUUGUUUCUCUCUUAAUUUGACUUUGGUUUAUUGUGAGCUCAUAUUCUUUCAUCAAUACAUUAAAUUGGGUCUUUAGCAUGCAAGUGCAUGCUAGAAAUUCUUUGACUUUGUGUGUGCCUAUUUUAUGCAUUUUUAAUUAUUUUCACUAUAUAUUUUCAUUUUUUCUUUUCUCAUAUUCACAAAAGGAGCUUUGUUUUUUAAUUUCCUAUUUUCUUGUCUUUUUUUUGUACUUUUUCCUUCUAUUUGUGUUUUGAUAUUUGUACUUUUCUUUGUUUUCUCAAGUUGUUAAAGGAGAUGUAAUAGAGACUGUUUGGGAUAAUGGAGAAUCAAUUGCAAAGGGAAGAAUAAAAUCUUUAGAUGCUACUUGCAUUUAUCACUAUGUUUCUUUAAGAGUUAGAUGUGUUUUGCUUUGCAUUAUUAAGAUGUUACCUUGAAUUACUCCGGAUGUUAGUGGGUUUUCUAUAUAAAAGCAGAAUCAAUUGAUGUUUCUAAUAGAGAUAUUUCCUACCAAAAUCUCUUAGGGAAAUACAAUUGGAACAUAGAGGAAUAAUGAUAAAGAUGUUAUUCCACAGAAGAUAGAGAGUAAAAAUAUUUCCAAAGGCAAGAAUAUCCUUAAUUCUGGUUAUUCUUCUAUAGAUAUAAAUGCUUGUAGUAUAUGGUAUAAAGAUCUUGUGAAGAUAGUGCAUGCUAUACAUGUAGUUGUGGCUGAGGGACUAGUUAAGGUACGAUUAUAUUGGAAUCUCAAUCUCUUCUUUUGUUGAUGUUUCAAGUAAGUUGGAAAUAGGUAGUUUAGUUCAAUGGAAAUUAUCCCAAACUCUUUUUGGUAAUAGUAUACCAUCUACCAUACUAAUAAGCACUUGCAUUUUUUCUUCACAUUAUUGAAAACGAAAAUAUACAUUUAUCAGAUGAGCUAUUAAGAAGCAACCAAACAAAUAGAAAUCAAAUACUAAGGAUUUAACAAGUGGAGGUCCCUUGGGGAUGAUGGGGAAUAAAAAUAACAAUUAAUCAAAGCAUGGACAACGAUUGAAGAUAAAAAAAUACAAAAAUCAAGAAUCUAGAAACCUGUAUCAACAACAAUCUUGGGGACAACAACAUUUAGAAUACAACCACUACUCAACUCUGACUUUUUGAACAUCACUAUCAACUGGAGAACGUAGACGCUUAUAGUGAGGACGCACACAACUUUAUACAACACAAUUAGAGGUAGGCCACGAUUACUUUAUAAUAAUUUAACACAACAAAGACUCGUAAAAAGAGUAGCCAUAGUAUGCACUCUUAUGAUCCCAAAGUUGGCGAGCAACAACCUUGUUGAAGACUAAUCAACUUUACCGAGCUGAGUAUAAUGUAGCAACAUAAAUACCAAUACAUAAAUUGUGUUAGUUUACACCACAUGAUUUUACAACUACACAGCAUUUCUUCGAGAAGAACUUAACAAACCAAAGACAAUAACAACAAAACCAUAAAAGCAAAUUUAAGAAAAUGAUAACUCAAGAAAACUCUAACACAACAUCGAAUGUACAAACACAACCUUGAUCCACUCAAGAAACAAGAGCAAGAUCAGAUACAAAAAAUACGAGAAAAGAAGAAACAACUCCAUCAAGAAUUAGAAGUAGACAAACAAUAGAAGACUCAAGCUUAAAUCAAAAUCCUUAAGACUAUAUUCAAGACUUUCAACAAAACGACCCAAGCUACACCAGUUGGCAAACCAAACAACAUUAACACAACCAAUGUCAAGGAAGACACAAUCAACCAAAAUUUAGACUUAGAUCAAGAUUGACCACCACUCGAAACUCUCGAUUACAAAGAUUACAACACUGACAACUUUCAGUCUUAUCCAGCUUCUCCAGAAACUGAACCAUCACCAACAAUAGAAAGAUGGCACUCAUAAACCCAACAACACCCUAUGGCAUCAUGAUUAUAUAUUUAAUCUUCACUAGUAGCAAAAUUGAAGAUGUAGAAAGACAUUUCCAGCAAUUCAACCAAAUUAUAUAAGUCAAUCAGCAAGAAGACAACAAAGAACUUCUAUUCCCUUUCACACUUAAAAGAAAAGCAUUAGAAUGGUAUUAUAAUCUUGAUGAAAAACUUAAGUUUCAGAAAAAAGUUAAAUGAUUCAAAGAGAAGUACCAACCCAGUGGCACAACAGUUGAAUACCUAAAACAUCUCAAGAGCAUCAAACAAAGCAGUAAAGAAGAUAUCGAAGACUAUACCCGAAGAUUCAAAUAUCACGUAAAGUGCUACAAAGAUAUACUCAUUAAACAAAGUAAGUAUAUUUGGUAUGUACAGGGAUUGAAAUAGAUAUACCAGCAAAUGGUUGCUCUCCCAAGUACGGAAGAAGAUCUAGAUGUCAAGACCUCUAUUGACAAUAUUUCCAAGAAAAUCAAGAACCUCGAAAAAUAGCUCUAAAAAUUUUUAAGAGUAGAAACAACAAGAACAAAUAACUCUUCUGAUGAUAAAGAAGAAUACAAACUUGAAGUCAUGAAGAAAGACAAAAAUCAAGAACUUACCAAAAUACUCAAGAAAGUUACAAUCAAAAACAAACUUAAAAAAAGAGUAUGGUAUACGAAAUGUAAGAACAAAGGAUAUAUCAUAACAGAGUGUAAACUACUAAAUCCUAAGUGUUAGAUUUGUGAAAAAGAAGUAUAUAUAGCAAAGAUCUGUCAAUACAAAAGAUUAACUAAAGUCACAUGAGUCGAGAAUAUAACUUGAACUCCUACACCAAGUAGAAGACAUUACAAUCAACCCAGAUAAGAACUAUAGCAGUGGUGCUUUGUUGCCAUUCAUGCCUUGAGAUUCUUACAUUUUGUCUUAGAGUUCUUGUUCUUUGACUUUUCCUCAAGGUCAUCUUCAGAAGUGUAGUGUUUUUUUUUUACUUCAAGUUAGAGCUCUUACCUCAGGUUCAUCUUUAAAGUGUUCAUCUUCAAUUUAGUCGAUGUUGACAUUUUUUGUUGUUAGAGGAGGUCUUCGAUGUUGCUGAUCUUGCUAAGGAGGUCGAUUACCUUGAUUUUGUGGUUGUUGGUAUUGGGGUCAAAUUUCUUGAGUUUGAGGUUAUUAUUGAUAGUUGUUGCGAGGAAAUAUUCUAGGUGGUGGAUCAUAUUGUUGAUUUUGCUGUUGAUAGUUUAGUUAUUGCAGAGGUGGUCUUCAUUGUCACUUGUUGUGGUACUGUUGUUGAUAGUUAUUUUGCCAGGGUGGUGGUCUCCAUUGUUGGUUGUCUCGAUAAGGCUGCUGAUAAACCUGUUGGUAUGGUCGUUGAUACUGAUUGUCUUGGUUGCCAUUGUUGUAUUGUCGAUGGUAUCUAAGGUUAAGAUUAUAUGUUAAGAUUAAAGAGCUAGUCAACACAAUUUAACAAACCCUUCAACAACAAUAACCUAAAGUUGAAGAUGAUCAGGAAAUUGUGACUAAAACUCUGUCAAGAAAAGAGGAACAACCAAAGCCUAUCACCAACAUUCUUCAACGAAGUAUCACACUCACCCUUUUAGAACUUUCACAGGUGGCUUCGUACUUGAGAAAACAAUUUCUCAAGAUAUGUCAAGCUUCUCCAUAAAAAAACUUCAGCUCAAGUCAAGAAAAAAACUAACAACUCAUCCCAUAAGGCAAACAUCCAAUCUAGCGACUAUGAUGAAGAUGUACCAUGCAUCCCAAUCACGAUAGGAAAGAACAAAGUAAUAUAAGUAAUCAUAAACGGUAGAGCAAAUGUCAACAUUAUUGAGUAUUCAAUCUGCAAAGCGAUGGGACUUCGACCAAUCCACUCUACACCCUUCAGUGUCAAGAUGGCCGACAAUCGGAGUGUACAACCAUCAGGAAUCGUGCACAACAUUUCUAUCAAGAUUAAAGAUCAAAAAUUUAAGGUAACUUUCAUCGUACUUAAAAUGGCGAAAGACAAAAGCUGCUACAAAGUACUACUCAAAUGAACUUGGCUCAAGACAAUAGACAUUAUCACAUAUUGGAGGAACAAUACCAUCACCCUUGGAGGACAUAAAGAUGCUCCACAACUAUUUACCAGUAUUGUAAAGAAGAUUGCAAAGAAAUUUUAACUAACCACAAUCAAACAAUAUGACUAGAAUGAAGGACUCGACAGCUAUGAAGAAGCUCAAAUUCUCAAGGCAUACCCCAAAUUAAAAAUACUAAUCUAAGUCGAUCUCAACUGAAUUAUCCUGAAGAAAACAAGCAAUCAAGAUCCUCAACUUCAAAAUAAAGAUUUUCAAUACCAAGAUUUAAAAAAAACAAGACAACACCAGCACACAUGAAAGAACAAUGAGAACAUUCAAGCAUCAAACUUGAAUAGUUUAAACCAACAUAUCAACAAAUUCCACUCGAAGAACAACCAGGUCUAUGACAAAAAGGAUCACAACUUACACCAAUACUCAACCUUGAAGAACCAACUCAAGAAACUAACCUUGGAACACCUGAAGAACCAAAAAAAAUUCACAUUGCCCAAGAGCUUGAUGAAGAUUUUAAAGCAAAAGCAACCCAACUACUUGGCACUUAUCAAGAUGUUUUCACCUGGUCCUAGACCAACUUACAAGGAAUUCCACCUGAACUACACAUCAGAUUGAACUUCAAUCACAAAUGGUACCAACAAAGCAAUCAGCCUACCGAAUGAAUCCAAACAUACAAACCAAAGUCAAGGAAGAGCUUGACAAACUCGAAAAUGUUAGAUUCAUCUUCCCAAUUCAAAAUCUAAAAUGGUUAUCACCACUAGUCAUUGUCCCCAAGAAGAACAACAAACUUAGGAUUUGUGUCAAAUAUAAGAAGCUCAAUGAUACAACUCAAAAGGACAUCUUUUCAAUUCCAUUUUUUGAUGAAAUUCUUGAUGCAGUUGCAAGAUAUGAGAUGUACUCCUUUCUCAACGGCUUCAGUAGACACAAUCAAGUACACAUUGUGCCUGAAGAUCAACACAAGACAGCUUUCAUCAAUCCAUGGGGAGCAUAUGCCUACCUUCGCAUGCCUUUCAGUCUCUCCAAUGCACCAUUCAUGUUUCAAUAAAUCAUCAUUGACACUUUUCAAGAACACCUCACCGAAUUUAUGUGAGUAUUUAUGGAUGACUUCAGUGUCUUUAGCAAUAAAGAAGAUCAUCUCCAAUGCUUAAAGAAAUGCUUCAUCAAAUGCCAUGAACACAAGAUCAUAUUGAACCCUAACAAGUGUAUUUUCUUUGUCAAAUCAGGAAUUCUACUCGAACAUGUAGUUUCCAAUGAAGGAAUCCUUAUCGACAAGGACAAAACCCUCACAAUCACCAACAUACAACAUCCAUUCGAUAUUUCAAGCCUUUGAUCAUUCCUCGGUAAGAUGGGAUACCAUUGAAGAUUCAUCAAAGACUACGCCAAGAUUGCAAAACCUAUCACUGAACUCCUCAAGAAAAAUCAAGUUUACAACUAGACUCAAGAUUGUUAAAAUGCCUUCAUCAACCUCAAGAAUUCCCUCACCCAAGCUCCAAUAUUUGCUCAACCAAAUUGGAACAAAGACUUCAACAUCCAAGUUAACACCUUCAACUAUGCCCUCAGAGCGAUCUUUUUGCAACAACAAGAAGAUCAUAGAGAUUGACCAACCUACUACCUACUAUGCAAGUCGAAGACUCAACUCAGUUGAAAUGAACUACACUACAACUGAAAAAAAAACUCUAGCAAUGAUCUACGCACUCCAGAAGUUUUGAUACUACUUACUCGGUAACUUCCUCCACUUUCUCAACAAAACAAUUCUCACUAGCAAAAUUGCACAAUGGUUCUUACUACUUCAAGAAUACAACUUUUAGAUCAUCUACAAGCCUAGAAGAGAACAUGAACACCUAAACCACAUUACAAUUGAUGAACAAUCGAAACACAACAUGGACAACUUUCCUGAAUCCAAUAUCCUUUGAAUCCACACAUCACCAACCUAGAUGGACAACAUCUACUACUACCUUACAAUAGCAAGAAUACCAAGUUGAUAUUCAACCUCCAACAAGCGCAAGCAAUUUGUCUUGAGGACAAGACCAUAUUCAAUCGUGGGAAGAAAACUGUACAAACAAGGAAGAGACAACAUUUUACAAAGAUGUGCAAACCCAAAAGAAACACAAGAUCUAUUUUAAGAAGUCUAUUGUGGACAAGUAGGAAAACAUUUUGCUGAAGCAAUCACAACUCGAAAAAUUUUACAAGCAAGACUUUGGUGGCCAACACUUUGGCACAACUAAGCCAAGUUCUGUAAAAAAUGUGACAUUUAUCAAUGAACCAAGUAUGCACUAAAGAAAUAAACUCAAGAACUUCAUCAAAAAACUCCACUUAAACCUUUUCAAUAAUGAAGACUUGACUUUGUUGGUCCACCUAUGACAAGCUCCAAGCAAAACUAAUACAUUCUAAUUGCAAUAGACUAUAUGACAAAAUGGGCUAAAGCUCAACCAAUAAAGACUGCUAUAACAAAGAACAUAACAAAGUUCAUUUAUGAAAACAUCAUCACAAAAUAUGGCUUACCUUGAGAACUCGUCACUGAUCAAGGAACACACUUCAUCAAUGAAACCAUCAAGAUUCUAACUCAAGAAUUCACUAUCUAGCACAAGGCUUUAACACCGUACUACCCUUAAGGUAACAGUCAAGUAGAGUCUACAAACAAGAUACUCAUAAACAUCCUCAUGAAAAUCGUGAGAAUAAAUCAGAAAGACUGGGACAAUCACAUCUAUGAUGCCCUAUAGUCAUAUCGAACUGCAUAUAAAGUUUCAACAAAUUCGACACCAUUCAAGCUCACCUACGGCCUUGAAGCUUUGACACCACUUGAGUACAUCGUUCCAUCAUUACGAAUGGCAAAACAAUACAAAAUCAACCAAGAAGAAUUGAUCAAAAUAAGACUAACCAUGCUAGAACAACUUAUUGCUAACUGAGAUCCUUUGACUAUCUCAUUUUGAAGCUUUGGAAUGCUCAAGGAGUUUUUUCUAACUCAGCAAAGAUGUUGCUUCAUAUGCCAAGGCUAACUAUUAUCAAAUAGUUCUUUUGAUAGAGUUAUGCAAUCUCAUGUGUGAGACACUACUUUGAUGAUGUCCUAUGACUAAGGAGGAACAUGAGAUGCAUGUGAGGCAAAAGUUGCCACUAUUGAGGGAGAACAAGCUGUAUUCUAAACUGUCAAAGCGUGAGUUCUUCUUAGAGGAGAUCGCCUAUCUCAGACAUGUGGUGCCAUGAGAUGGUGUGCAGGAAGAUCCUCAAAAGACUCAAAUAGUCAUUGACAGUGGAUUCUGUAAGAGUGUCCAUUGCACCAAGUGCAGGACAUCGAGGACAUGUGUUCUGGUAGAGACACAUUUAUUUUGGCUUGGAAUGAAGUCAAGUGUUGAUAAGUAUGUGCACAAUUGCUAGACCGGCCAGGCAGUCACAAUGGAUUGUCAGAAGCAUGAAGGUCUCUACCAUAGUUAACCUCAGCGGAAGUAGGAUAGCAUUUUCUACGAGUUUCAUAGUAGAUGCUUCAAGGCAAUGAUGCUAUCUGGGUUAUUGUGGAUUGUGUGAUGAUGUUGACUCACUUCUUCCUUGUGAAGACGAAUGCUAAGGCUUUUGACCUUGCUCAGCUGUAUUUCUCUAUAGGCUGCCUAAGGAUGUUGUAAGUGAUCGAGAUCCCACAUUCACUUUGGUGUUUUGGCAAACGGUGUUCCAAAAGCUUGAGACAAAGCUGAGCAUGAGCAUCCACAGUCAGAUGGACAAACAAAACGAGUUAAUUAGGUGCUGGAAGACAUGCUGAGAUUGUUUGUUGGUCAUCUGAAGAGGCAAGGUAUUUGGGAGAAGUACCUGCCUUUGUUAGAGUUUGCUCAUAACUGUGCCUUCCAUUUGGCUAUUGAGAUGGCUCUGUUUAUGGCAAUGUAUGGCUUUCAACCUCGGUCCCCUGUUGGUAUGAACUUGGCUUCUCUUAAGGUGCACCAGGCAAAAGAGUUGGCUGAUGAGCAUUGUCAGCACAAGCAGUUUCAGGUUGGAGACAAGGUUUUCCUUCAGUUGUCUGAAGCUGAGACAACAAGGUAGUUCUAAGUUGUCGCCACAGUACUGUGGGCCUUGGAUUUUUCUCAAACGAGUUGGAGACCUUGCCUAUCAACUAGACUUGCCUAGUGGUGUGAAGAUUCAUCCCGUCUUCUAUGUAGGGAGUUGAAGGCAUGUUUGCAUUCUGGUAAUAUCUUGGACCAGUCUGCCAUCAAGAUUCCAGAAAUAGAUGUUUGAAGGUUGGCCCUACUUGUGUGUUAUAGCAACGGCUAGCGCGCACACAUCGUAAGACUUGGAGAGAGUUACUUGUUCAGUGGAAUGGUUAUUCUCCAUAUGAUGCUACAUGGGAAGCUGAGGAUGAUGUUGUUUCCUAAUUUUGAGUAUGACUUGGAUGACAUUCCAGAGGAAGAGGAGAAGUAGUCGCUUGCUCCUAUCCUUUCUUUCUUUUCUGACCCCGUUGAUGGCUGGAGGUGUUGUGUCACGUGAGACAGUUAGUGGGUUUGUUAGCGGAUGCUUUGCUAGCUUCUCUCUCCUCAGCUACUGUUCAUCAUAGUUGGAGCAGAGGGAAAAAUGUCACCGUAUUUCGUGAUGAACCAGCUGAUUCUGGACCUAGGUCUCUAAUCAAAGAGCCAAAUACAACUGCAAAUUUGCAUCUGAAGGGGUGUUCAAGCAUCUCCACGGGGUUUUCAUUGCAUAGAAUACACAGAGUUUUGUGAACUGUGAGCCAAUCACCAACAGGGAUGCUGUCCUGCACAAGAAGCCAGCUUACCUUAGCUUCCACCAGUGUCUUCCACAUGUUCACAAUGUACUUCCGAUUCUUCAACUUCCGCAUAAGCCUGGUGUCAAUUUUAUCCAUCAAAAGCUCUCUGCCAUGCUUAAACCUGUACAUAAAAAAAGACACACUGAACUCAUUACCUUCCCAGGAUAACUGAGCCGGAUCCUAUAUAAGAUCAGAUUUAGGUACUCCCCAAACUAGUGUAUUGCAGAGCAUUCUCCCAGUUGAACCUUAGGAUCCAGUUCAGUGUAUUUCCCUCUCUGAUGUAUCGUCCUGAUCCUUUUACUGAAGGCCAUCCUGGGAACUGGGACCUCCUUGGGAACUAUACAUGGAAACAGUGCACCACUGUUAUGGGGAUAAGAAACAAUACCUUGAGGUGAUGGGGUUGUUUCCAUAACAAAGAUGAUUUGAGUCAAGCAUUAUCCAAUCACGAACCUCGAUAACUUCAGUUUGUAAAGCAAGAUGAAGGCGAUCACAAGCGAUGCUGCCUUAAGCUUUGAUGUGGAGUUUUCAUCCUGGGUUGUAAUGGGUUGUCAUGAGGCCAUGGGUUUGCUCCAAGCGGACGUUAAACAAAUACCUGACUUUACCUUUUUCAUUGUAUCAUACCUUUUCCACUGCUGAGGAAGAAAAACAAGAUCCCAACAAGAACUUUGCUGCAAGUGAUGGCUUGCUAGCUCUUUGUAGAUCCAAUAAGUCUUUGAUCGAAGCUCCCACAUUUCUAUGCCACCUAGGCCAAAGACCUCUACCCAAGCCUGGAGCUGAACAGUCACCUAUAUACUGUUGAUUACUGUUCUUAUGCGCUACGUUGAAGAACAAGCGAUCAUCUAAUGCCUCUGUCAGAUGGUCUGGUUCUUUCUGACUUAACCUGGGUAGGAGUGUGACUUCCAUAUCUUCAACAUCUCUUUUGCUAUUCCAUCCUGGACCUUCUUUGUGUUGAGAGGAGCAGUGCCAAUCGAUUCCUUGUUUCUAGUUACCACCCUGUCUAGGCAAGAUCUUCAGUUUCGUGGAUAUAAACCUGACACAAGAACUUUGAAGAGAAGAGCUUGGAUUGAAUUCCUGGGUGUGGCACAUUCUGAAUAACUGAAUUCCACUCUACUUUUGCCCGGACUUUGCACCCGCUGGAGUUUCUAAAGUUUCUACAUAUGUCGUUGGAGAUCAAGUGUUGGUGAGUUAUCGGGUGUUGCAGAUCCAAGGUUUUUGCUGCGUAGGUCCUUAUCACAUCGUCCAACAAGUUGGUCCACAAAUCUAUGUGGUGACACUCAAUGCACAACGUCAAGAGAAGAUCCAUGUGAAGCGGUUAGCUCUAUAUUGUGUGCAAACGGAUUGAUGUAAGGAUUCUACCAUAUAUUCUAUGGUAAAUAUAGAUAAACUCAACAAGAUUGGAAUACACUAGCUUUUUAAUAAUAAUAAAUUAACAAUUUUUAAUGUGUAUUUAUGGAGCCCACAAGAGUAGGAGUGAGGAGUUAUCAUAUUAUGAAUCCCACAAGAUCAAGAGUGAGAGGUGUUUAAUCACAUUUUUUAUAUGCUCCAUAUGAUCCUGACGUCUAGGGAUAUGAGGGGGGCCCAGGAAAGCUAGAGGAAGGGAAAAAAAGAAUUAAUUAGAGUGAAAAUGCGAGUUAUUGUGAAAUUAGAGUAUAAAUGUGACGAGCUAAGAGUAGCAGCUUAAAAGAGGGAAGUAGGAAUGCUCGGAUGGAGUCCACCAGGUAGAAAAGACAAGUCAUACCUCAAGCCUCGGAUUGCUCCCAACCCCCUGCCUCCACCCGGUUGCCUACUUUAACCAAGCCCCGGACCACCCAGCAGUCUUGGCGCACAGGGAUGACAUCAGCCCUAACCUCUUGCUCACUUCUGAGCUUCUCCCCCCUUAAGAAAAAAGGUCUGUUGUUCUCUUGGAGUUCAAGAGGCAUCCUCUUCACCGUCUCCUCUGUUUUUGCUAGCUAGUUAGCUCUUACAAGAAGGAGCACAAGCCAAGUUCAGCUCCAUGCUCAGCUCUAUCAUCUCCUCUUUAAGACACCUCACCUCUUUGAGGCCAUUCAGAAGAGCUAGCACGCUUCACCUCUAGACGUCCCCCCCCCCCCUUUUUUGCAAUUGUCUCUUCAAACUCAUCAUACUUAUUUAACUCACCAAACCUUACCAAGCCGAGUGCAGGUUUUGAAACCCCAUGAGUCACCUUGGCCAACAAUCUUGACGUGCGGAUGCGUCCAAACUGCUGGACCAUUUCUCCAGGAGAUAACUUAUGCUACAACACUCUCCGCUCGACGAUCUCAAUGUGGAAAGAUCCACAAAGCUGUCCCACUCAUCAUAGUUGUAGAAGAAAUCAUCCUCAUACUGCAUCUGCAACCUUGCUCGAGCCCAAGCCUCCGCCAUCACAAGCUUCUCCCUCAUCUUGAUCAGCUCACACUUGAGGCGGCAAAACAAGUCCAGGUCCUGAGGAACAACAAUGGAAUACACCUUUCCCGGGUACCUGUCUCGAAACCUGUGAAAGUACAGUGGACGAUGUGGUGUUUCAGAUCGCAGCGGAAUGAUAACUUAAUGAAAGCAACAAAACCAUCGAGCUCGCUCUUUGGGGAUCAAUUAUCAUCUCCUCCUUUGAAGCAAUGAGCAGCAGGCCUUGAUCGCAUCCAGAAGUACUAGUCAGAGAUAGUCUGCAAAAGCAAGUUUGACACCAGUUAUUUUGGCAACACAGAAGAAAAAGAAGAAAAAUAAACUCAAUUUUCAAAAUUUAUAGAGAUCCAUACAACCCAAAUCAAGAUCAAUCUUCCACGAACUUAAUGCCGCUUUCAGCACCUCCAAGCUCUGCCGAAAAACGUAGCCACGGUAUGCCACAAUCGUUCGCUUGAAAAUCUGAAGAUGUCAAUCGAAGCAUGCAAGAAAAAAUGGACAACAAAGGAGAUGAACUGAGCGAGGCCAAGAACACAUAUAAGGACUGAAUGGAAGCACAUGAGGCCUCACGCGGUUUUUUCCUCCAUGUGUGGCUUCAUGUGCGAAGAGUUUGGUGUGGUAAUGUAUGUUGCGGAGCAGCCAGAAGCCCAGGGUGAAUAUAAGUACGUGAGGCCUUCUGAGGUUUUACCACCGCCCGAGGACUCCUAUGCAUGGGCCCCAGGCGAGAGUCAUUUGCGAAAGUGUUCUGCAUGAAACUGGUGCCCUGAGGUUUCUGGCCGUGUCGCCCCAUGAAGAGGAUUUUUUAUUUAAUUUGUGUAGAGUGUGGUUUAUUUUUGCAUAUUGAGUGUAUCAAUAUCUUUUAGUUAGCAGAUUAUAUUGAAGAACUGAAGACUACCUACAGUUAAGUGCAUGCAGCAACAGAUUAUAUAAAAAAUGAAUGCAGAGAAUAACAAAUCGGGAUUUCUAGGAAGUUCGUGCGUGUUGUUAGUAAUAAUAAUAAUAAUCAUAAAAACCUGAUGUUCAGCUAGUUAGAAGAUUGUCUGAAAAUUAUGCAUGUACUGAUUCUUCAGCUCUUGAGCAACUGAUUGCUGCUGGCUCACUUUCUAUAUAUAUCAAAGAGACAAUAAACAUCUAAGCUGCUGUAGUUAAGCUGUGACAUUGUAAAGUUUAAAAAGGAAAAGAAUUAGAAAAAGAAAAAACAGAAAACACAGUUAAGUACUAACAAAUCGGGAUUUCUAGGGUAUGCGUGCGGCGCUAGGGUUUGUGUGGUGUGUGUCAUUUCUCAAAACUCUCAUGGAGUGGAAAACGUUUUUCAGGGAUCCCACUUUCUGGUGGGACAACAGGUUCAAGAAGAAAAACAAGUUCUUCUCAGAGUCCUACCCGGAUUUCAAACAUGUUUCUACCGGAGAGAGCCUGUGGAUCGCCAACAGGAAAACACCAACCUGGGUCUCUGCAAAACUCGAGUCGCUCGCUGACCCAGCUGUAGGUAAGGCCACCACGGCCCGCUACAAAUCUCCACAUACCCCACCUGUAGCUGGUGAUGAACCGGUGAGUUUAGGGAGGCUGAUACACCGCGUGAGACACUCAGCUGAGAGCAGAUCCCUUUCUUUGGGAAAACAAGCCCAUGAAGCUGUGCUCAAGAGUGAUGAGCACAAAAGCAACAUCUACUUGUUGACGGGAUUGAUCGAUAUGUACUGCAAGUGUGGCGAGCUUGAGGAGGCUCGCAAGAUUUUCGACUCCAUGGGAACCCGGAGUGUUGUGUCCUACAACGCGAUCAUCCAGGGCUGUGGCUCGAACGGGCAAGCUGAACUCGCUCUGGAGUACUACUCUGCCCUGAGAGUUGAUAACACCAUUCAACCCGACGAUCGGACUCAUGUCGCGGUGAUCAGCGCCUGCUCCAGACUUGCUACCGAAUCCAGCGAGAAGAGGGAGAGAGCUCUACGCAUCGGGAUGGAGAUCCAUUCAAUGCUGAGCAAGGAGAAGAAACAGGUAGAUCUGUUCGUGGCGACUUGCCUGGUAGACAUGUACUGCAAGUGUGGCGAGCUUGAGGAGGCUUGCAAGAUUUUCCACUCCAUGGGAACUCGGAGUGUUGUCUCCUACAAUGCGAUCAUCCACGGCUGCGGCUCGAACGGGCAAGCUGAACUUGCUCUGGAGUACUACUCUGCCCUGAGAGCUGAUAACACCAUUCAACCUGACGAUCGGACUCAUGUCGCGGUGAUCAGCGCCUGCUCCACACUUGCUACCGAAUCCAGCGAGAAGAGGAAGAGAGCUCUACGCAUCGGGAUGCAAGUCCAUUCAGUACUGAGCAAGGAGAAGAAACAUCUAGGUCUGUUCGUGGCGAAUUGCCUGGUAGACAUGUACUGCAAGUGUGGUGAGCUUGAGGAGGCUCGCAAGAUUUUCCACUCCAUGGGAACUCGGAGUGUUGUGUCCUACACCGCGAUCAUCCAGGGCUGCAACACGAACAGGCGAGCUGAACUUGCUCUGGAGUACUACUCUGCCCUGAGAGUUGAUAACACCAUUCAACCCGACGAUCGGACUCAUGUCGCUGUGAUCAGCGCCUGCUCCAGACUUGCUACCGAAUCCAGCGAGAAGAGGGAGAGAGCUCUAUGCAUCGGGAUGGAGAUCCAUUCAAUGCUGAGCAAGGAGAAGAAACAGGUAGAUCUGUUCGUGGCGACUUGCCUGGUAGACAUGUACUGCAAGUGUGGCGAGCUUGAGGAGGCUCGCAAGAUUUUCCACUCCAUGGGAACUCGGAGUGUUGUCUCCUACAAUGCGAUCAUCCACGGCUGCAACACGAACGGGCAAGCUGAACUUGCUCUGGAGUACUACUCUGCCCUGAGAGCUUGUACCACCAUUCAACCCAACGAUCGGACUCAUGUCGCUGUGAUCAGCGCCUGCUCCAGACUUGCUACCGAAUCCAGCGAGAAGAGGGAGAGAGCUCUACGCAUCGGGAUGGAGAUCCAUUCAAUGCUGAGCAAGGAGAAGAAACAGGUAGAUCUGUUCGUGGCGAAUUACCUGGUAGACAUGUACUGCAAGUGUGGCGAGCUUGAGGAGGCUCGCAAGAUUUUCCACUCCAUGGGAACUCGGAGUGUUGUGUCCUACACCGCGAUCAUCCAGGGCUGCAACACGAACGGGCGAGCUGAACUUGCUCUGGAGUACUACUCUGCCCUGAGAGUUGAUAACACCAUUCAACCCGACGAUCGGACUCAUGUCGCGGUGAUCAGCGCCUGCUCCAGACUUGCUACCGAAUCCAGCGAGAAGAGGGAGAGAGCUCUACGCAUCGGGAUGGAGAUCCAUUCAAUGCUGAGCAAGGAGAAGAAACAGGUAGAUCUGUUCGUGGUGACUUGCCUGGUAGACAUGUACUGCAAGUGUGGCGAGCUUGAGGAGGCUCGCAAGAUUUUCCACUCCAUGGGAACUCGGAGUGUUGUGUCCUACACCGCGAUCAUCCAGGGCUGCAACACGAACGGGCGAGCUGAACUUGCUCUGGAGUACUACUCUGCCCUGAGAGUUGAUAACACCAUUCAACCCGACGAUCAGACUCAUGUCGCGGUGAUCAGCGCCUGCUCCACACUUGCUACCGAAUCCAGUGAGAAGAGGGAGAGAGCUCUACGCAUCGGGAUGGAGAUCCAUUCAAUGCUGAGCAAGGAGAAGAAACAGCUAGAUCUGUUUGUGGCGAAUUGCCUGGUAGACAUGUACUGCAAAUGUGGCGAGCUUGAGGAGGCUCGCAAGAUUUUCCACUCCAUGGGAACUCGGAGUGUUGUCUCCUACAAUGCGAUCAUCCAGGGCUGCAACACGAACGGGCGAGCUGAACUUGCUCUGGAGUACUACUCUGCCCUGAGAGCUGAUAACACCAUUCAAGCUGAUGCUUGGACCUACACCUGCGUCCUUGUUGCUUGCGGGAGUGUGAUGGCGAUCAAGCUCGGGAGGGAGAUUCACCAGCUGGUGAAGCAUAAAGGGCUGCUGAAAAACAAUCCAGUUCUGGGCUCCAGCCUGGUGAGCUUCUACGGCAAAUGCGGUGAUGUUGAUUCUGCUCAGGAAGCGUUUGACGAGUGCCGAGCUCGGGACGACACGGGUCUCUGGAACUCUCUCAUACAGGCUUACACUCUCCAGGGCCGAUCGAUCGAGGCCUUGGAGCGUUUCUAUUCCAUGACUCAGGAGGAGGGCUGUAAAGCUGACGAUGUGAGUUUUGUUUCGGUGUUGAACGCUUGCAGCCAUGGUGGUCUGGUCGGGAAAGGAAGGCAGCUUCUGGAUGAAAUGCCCAAGCAGUAUGGAGUCAAGCCACGUCUGGAGCAUUAUGUGUGCCUGAUCGAUAUGCUCGGGCGAGCUAACCUCCUCGACGAAGCUGUGAGAGUUCUCAGAGCCAUGCCUUUUGAACCGGAUGCAGUGGUUUGGACGUCCCUGCUCGGAGCCUGCCGGAAGUGGAAGAAUUACACGAUCGGCAAACUCGCGUUUGAGCGUCUUGUGGAGAUGGAUCCCAAGAGCGGCACGCCCUACGCAUUGAUGGCCAAUAUAUUUGGAAACCUGGGGAUGCUCAGUGAAAGGGCCGCUGUUGUGGAGAGAAUGAGAGGUGAAGGCAGCUUCAGGGAGCCCGGGAGAAGCUGGUGGACGGAUGUUUGCUCAGGAAAAGUGCAUUCUUUUUCUGUCGAGGAUAGGAGUCACUCACAGAGUGACGAGAUUGCGGCCAAGCUCAAGCAAUUGUUGCUGAGAAUGAAAGAGGAGGGGUAUGCGAGCGAUGUGAUCAACGUUCUAAAAGACAUACCCGAGGAAGAGAAAGAGGAUCACCUGUGCGGCCACAGUGAGAAGCUUGCGCUGGGGUGUGCUCUGGUGAACUCGCACCAGAAGGAGACCAUCAGAAUUGUGAAAAAUCUCCGAGUUUGUGACGAUUGCCAUGCGGCCACUUCUCUAAGCUGGAAAAAAGGCUAAUCAUCUGCAAAGAUGCCAGUCGGGUUCAUGUGUUCCAGGAUGGCGGAUGUUCCUGUGACAACUACUUUUGAAAACAUGUCAGUGCUUUUUCUUGCAAUUAUCCCUGGUUUUAAACCCUCUGUGAGUCAAGCAGAAACAUGGGCCGCUGAGUGAGCAAAGUACCACCGUCAACCUGAACUUCACGGAGAAAAAAUUAACAUUUAAAAGUUAAAACUAUGCAAAAGGAGGAUGACACGUUACUUAAAUUUAAAUUUCUUUUUGGUAGCAGAAUCCAGGAAUGCUGACUAAACCUGCCAACAGGUGCCCCAAAACGGAGUGCCUAGAUUCAGAUAAUAAGCCUUAGUAUGAAGACUUGCCGGUACCCAAACUCUUUGCUGAUAGCAAGUACCGCCUCAUGUUCCAGGAGCAAGGUGAUGGUGGCUUGCGGCAUGACCAACUUUGGGUUUUUGCUCCUAGAGCACGUUGAAGACGUGUGGAAGCUGGUGACGACGGCAUUUGUUUCUUGCAAUGUACUCACCAGCUCCUCGGCGAUGUCUUCCUUCCAGAUUUUUUGAGCUUGUUGUGAGUGGUGACCUGCUUGCUCUCUCCUGUGACGACUUCUUCCAGCCUCUGGUGCCCAGGCUUUCUUGUGGAUGGAGCUAGCCCUACACAGUGUGUGUGUGUAUCAACCAGCAGAUGCACAAAUCGUUGAGAAUUAGCAACAAGUGACGUAGUGUACUAGUGUACAUGUACAUGUGUUUCAGCUAAAUAUAAUGGGCCAAAUACACCGAAGAAGUGUGUAUAAGAAGAGUAGAAACAAAUUAAGAAAUGUAAAUUAAGAAGUGCAAAAGAAAUGAAAAUAAAGAUUGUCCAUCCUCAUCAGUUUGCUGAAAUUAAGUUGGAUUCAAUUCUUCCAGCUCCAAAUAUUGUGUGAUUGUAGUUUUUUAUUUUCGAAAGAAAAUUAGUGGGGGAGUGCUGGUAAAGAUAUCUUUGCCGUUCAUUGGUGGUUAAUUAAAUGAGCAUGUUUAGAGAUGUUUAUCUGGACCAAGAGUUACCGGAAAAUUAAAGUUCAAAAUUUACGUUUUCCCUAUUUGCACAAUAACUUAAGCUAAAGUAAUGUACUUACCCUUAUUUUUUAUGGGAAAAUUAUUAGUAUUUUGGAUUCGCACGAAAACAAAAGGGAGGAUUCUUAAGUAAUUUUCAAAAACCCCGACCAAAUCUAAAGUGUUGGGGGGGUCAUUUUAUUUUAAGGGAAGUUGUUAAAAAUUAUUCCGGAAAUAUUCGAGAAGAUUCUUAAGUUAGGGUUUGGCGUGCCUGCGAAGAAGUUCUGAUCUCGCGGCACGGCCCGAGAAUUAAAACAUGGCAGCAGCCGCGGAGAUUUAUGAGGAGAGGAAGAAGCAGGUAAUCCGAUUUUAGGGUUGGAAGAGGAAACAGAGCUCUGGGAAAUGGGGCCGAUCGAGCUGGAUCUGGGCCUGCUCGUGCUCUAUCUUCACCAACAGGAGGAGGAAGAGGUGCCCAUGGAGGGAGAGGUGGCCAUGGAGUGGGAGGAGGGCGCGGGGUGGCCGGGGUUGGCCGCGGAUCUCUGAAUCUGGCCCCGGGAGGAUUAGGCCAUGGUUCUGAGGCGGCUCGAGGAGGGGGUGCCCCGGGAGGAGGAGGCCAUGGUUCUACUCUAGGAGGAGGACGCCGCGGUUCUUCUCCGGGAGGAGGAGGCCAUGGAUCAUCGCCAGGAGGAGGCCAAGCCUCGGUGGGAGGAGCCGAAGCCACAGCGGGAGGAGUCCAAGCCGCGCCCGGAGGAGCCCAAGCCACGUCCGGAGGAGUCGAUCCAAUUCGCAACAUCAACAGGUACUUGACGUCUGGUGCUGGAACCGACUGGCUCCCUCCGGAGUGCGAUAUCUCCAUCAGGCCCGGUUGGUUUUGGCACAGGAACGAGGCUCCAAAAUCCCUGGAGCAGCUGCUCGACGUUUUCUACAAAUCAUCUGCCAGGAACUGCUUGCUCCUGCUCAACGUCCCUCCAAACUCGUCGGGACUGAUCGACAAAUCCGACUUCCAGACGCUGGAGCGGUUUAGCUCCGCCAUAGAUUCCAUCUUCAGCGUCAACUUAGCAGCGAAUCCCUUGUCCGUGACAGCAAGCAGCGUUCGCAGCUCUUCGUUCGGGCCGAAGCAAAUCCUUGACGAGUGUAUGGAAACUUUCUGGGCUCCAAUGCAAGGGGAGUCGACCGGCUGGAUCGAGCUUGAUCUUGGCAAGGUCUCAAAGUUCAACGCACUGGAGAUCCGAGAGCCAGUAAACAUGGGACAAAGGGUCAUGGAAUAUCACGUCGAGGCAUGGGACAGCGAGCUGGGCUGGUACCUGGUGAGCAACGGUAGCACCAUUGGUUACAGGAAAGUGGAUCGACUGGAAGAGGAUCAAGUAUGCACUGCUCGGCUCGUUCGACUGCUGAUUGAUGCUUCUUUGGUUUGUACUUCGAUGUGCGUAUGACUUAAUCAUAAUCGUCCACGAAAGUAUGCUGUGCAGAGGCAUCCUAUCAAACAAACUCUUGGCUUGAAUCAAAUCCCCAUUUUGGGCAUAGCAGCAGUGCAUCGCCCCCCAGAGGAUCGCGUUUCAGUGUACAAUCUCCUGGAAGACAUCCUCCGCCUCCUCCACGAAUCCAUUCUCCGCAAACAUGACGAGCAUCACCGUGCGAGUGAUGCUGUUCUUCUCAGGCAUGGAAUCAAAUGCGGCCUUCGCAUUGCCCACUCACCCGUGCUGCGCGAAACCCUGCACGAGGAUCGUCCACGCUACCACAUUCAUCUCGGGCAUCCGAUCCAGCACCUCUCUCGCUCGCCCAAUCUCUCUGUCGCGAGCAAAUCCCCGCAGCAGUGUCGCCCACAUCUUGCAGUUCCUCUCGGGCAUCGCAUCAAACACUGCCUUGCUUGAUCCAAUCUGCCCGCAAUCGCCCAGUGCCUUGACCAUCGCAGUGGAGGAAACUACGUCCCGCACCGCCAUUCGAUCAAACGCUGCCUUGGCCUCGCCCGGAUGCCCACUCUCGGCAUACGCAGUUGCGAGCGCCGUCCACGACGUGAUGUUCUUGGCUGGCAAUGCAUCCAAGAUCCUUCUCGAUUCCUCCAAAUGCCCACACUGCAAACUUCAAACAAUUAAACACUGAAUAGAGGAAAUUGCUAGGCCAAAGUCCACCAAGAUCAUCACAUUUAUACUAUUUACAACUGCAGCAAAAACAAACAUAAACUAUUCAUCCUCCAUUAAUUCUAUAUUGCAUGUUAUGAAAGAGAGUGGAGGAGAGAGAAUAGGAGGACUUUUGUUAUUUGUUGGUGAUAGAGAAGAAGCACAAGAAAUAGAACUCCUAUUAUCCAUAAAUGUCAAAAGAGAAUAAGAAUAUUUUUUAGCAUAUUAUUGACGUUUGGUACAAGUUCCAGUGUUAUGUCCCCAUCCAUGACAUUCCUCACAUCAUGAACAACAAUUGUGUUAUCACUCAGCACGAAAAGUCAAUAAUCUAGUCUUCCUAAACUAAAUUACACCUCCUUUUGAAGUUCCUCACCACCUAACCACCCCCGCGCUACCUCAAAAGGUCUUUUGCACUACAAUGAGCCCUAGAGUAUGUUAAGUUCUUUACCCUAACAUGGCCUGACGUUAACCAUGUGGUCAAAGCCAAUUCUUCCCCCUAACAAAGUCCUUGUCGCAAGGAUGAGUUGUACUAGUUUUCACCUUUUCUGGGGAACCCUACUCAAGCUUUUGAUCCAUCUUUUAUAGCCGUAUACAUCAAGGAGGCAUUGGGCCCGGCACUCUGAGAUAAUAUACCUUUCAACUGGUUAACAUAAAAUAUCGGAUGAAUUUUCACCCCAACUGGCAGCCGCACCCGAUAAGCCGCCUUACUGAUCCGCUCUAGCACUUCAUAUGGGCCAGCAUACCGAUGAGAAAGUUUAUCAUUCUUCCUAUUUUGCAAAGGCACUAAAGUGUUCCACUGCUCACUUGAUGAAAAAAUCACUCGCACAAAGAUAUGAUUACCCACCUUAUAUUCCUGGAAUGGGCGAUACUCAUUAACAAACUUCUCCGCUCUAUCCAAAGUUGCUUGCAAAUUCCAUUUGCACACCACCAGAAUCUCAUCAAGUUUCGUGGCCAAAUUAGUCACCUUUGAAUCAAGUUUUUCUUGAACAUCCUUACUCAAAUGCAAUUCCAAUUCCACAGCUGUUUGAGGAUGCCUUCCAAACAUGGCAAAGUAAGGACUUACCUUAAUUCCAUUGUGUUGGCUAUUAUUGUAAGCAAAUUGCACCAAUGAAAGAUAUAAAUCCCAUUGUCCUUACCUUUGAUUAAUGCUAUAGUAUAGCAUAUCCUCCACUACCUGAUUCACAUGCUUAGUUUGCCCAUUUGUCUAAGGAUGAUCUCCACUCGAGAGUUUCAAAGUCAUUUGCACAGCUUUUGCAAAGCUAUUUCAAAAUCCACUAGUGAACUUUGAAUAUCAAUUGAUAACAAUGUCCUUUGGCAAACCAAAAUCAGGAAAAACCUUCUCCAAGUAGACCGCAACCAAGUCUAAGGCAGUGACACUCUUCCGAAAAGCUAACAACUGCACAUAUUUCGUCAAAUGAUCCACUAUGACUGACAUUUGCUUCUUUUCCCUCUGUGUUCGUGGCAAACAAGACACCAAUAAAUCUGAGGAAUAGAUAAAGGUUGCAAAAGUCCCCCUGGCUUCUCCCAUAUCACCUUUACUCGUUGAUAGAGCUUAUUGUAAGCCACAAAUUUUUCCUUUCCAAUUUGCCAGCUUACCCCGUUUAUCCGUCCAACACCGCCUUGGCUUUUGCUAAGCUCCCUUGCCAAGGUUCUCGCCUAUGGUACCAGCUCCUACUUGGUCUCAGCUACUCACUGCACGAGCAACGGAGUGUUAGCCAUCCAUCCACGGAUUCCCAAAUCACUCCCAAUCCCCCUCCCUAGGUUAGACUGGACUAAAGGUUCGGCUACAUUCCCCGCAAGCACAAGCAGCCAAGCACACCAAGCUUCCAGGUUCCUAACAUCCCUUUGGUACCACAAGACUUGAUCAUGGGACCCUCUAAAUCCCAAGUCUUGAGUGCAACACUUGCUUCGGGACGCCGGGGCGAAACACCGUGGCCUAGCGGCCCGGUAUGGGUACCUCUCGCCCCCCACUUCCAUCCCGAAGGAAGGCCCAAGCCCCUAGGAAGGGCGAGGACCAAUGAGCCGCAUGGUACUCAAGUGGGGCACCACUCCACAUGAGCCGGGAGCACCGCAAUCGGUUUCCCUUUCGGGAGUGGGAGCUGCUCUUGAGCACUUCCUUGGAUGGCCCCUCCGGCACCAACCAAGUCCAUGCUCACUCCCACCCAAGGCCCCUCGGUCCCAGUCCCAACCUCAAGUCAGUUUGGGAGCCCCACUGGAGAGUCCCUUCUAAACUGGUUCCUGGACCUCACUAUCCCUACUAUACUUUUGGAACCCCCUGCAGCCCCCCCCCCCCCUGGGAGACGCACGCUUUGGGCUUUCACCCCUUGACCCGUAUUAGUAUUUGGACUUAGUCUUUGGCUCGAUCUCGGACCCGAUUUCGGAUCCAACUUCGGAUUCGGUUUCGGACUCGAUCUUGGACUCGAUCUCGGACCCGAUCUCGGACCCGACCUCGGACUCGACCUCGGACUCGGUCUCGGACCCGAUUUCGGAUCUCGGACUCCGUCUCGAACUCGGUCUCGAACUCGGACUCGAACUCGGUCCCCGAGUCGGUCUUGGACUCGAUUCCGGACUCGAUCUCGAACUCGGUCCUAGAGUCGGUCUUGGACUCGAUCUUCGACUUUGUCCCAUCUGAUGAACUCUUUGUCAUUUUUGGUCAUGCUUUCGGGGUUCCUUUAGCCUACGACACCUCGGCGAGUUGGUUCCUUACACUUAUAUGACCUACAGUAUUCAAGGAUAUCAACCUUCAUACUCUUCCAAUAGAAAUUAUGCUUAAUCAACUCAUAUGUCUUCUUCCCCCCAAAAUGAUUAGCCUCUGGACGAUCAUGAUAGUGGAAUAAAACUUGAAUAAUUAAUGCAUCCACCUAUGUGUAAGCAACCAAAGGGAACGACUCGAGAGACGAUCCAUUGGGGUUCAAAUAUAGAGGGAAAGGGCCCAUGAACAAGAGUGCACCCCCUUUUCCAAUCGGUUAAGGGUCUUGGGAUAUUUGGGGUUAAGCGUCCUUGGGUUUGAAUAGUACUGGGCUGGGUGACCUCCCGGGAAGUCCAAACUCAGGAGCUUACAUUUGGUAUCAGAGGGGGUCUCGGGUCCGACUCUGUUGGUUGGCUUAGGGGAAUCGCACCACAUGUUGAUUGACAUCUGGCUGGUCCAGUUUGCUCCCACUGGGCUCGACCCGAGGGGUAGGGUGUCAAGAGAGCGAGGCUCUCGGGAGAGCUGCGGCUCUCAGCUUCCGUUCACGAGGGCGUGAACUUGCAGGGAAGCGUGGUGGAUUGUAAGCAACCAAAGGGAACGACUCGAGAGACGAUCCAUUGGGGUUCAAAUAUAGAGGGAAAGGGCCCAUGAACAAGAGUGCACCCCCUUUUCCAAUCGGUUAAGGGUCUUGGGAUAUUUGGGGUUAAGCGUCCUUGGGUUUGAAUAGUACUGGGCUGGGUGACCUCCCGGGAAGUCCAAACUCAGGAGCUUACACUAUGGCAAAUACACAUGGCCAUUGUAGUAAAGAAUCCCAUUCACCAAUGAGAAAGAUGCUUCCAUUUGGGCUUGCAAUGAGACCACCUCAACAUCUUGAGCCUAAGCAUGCUCAACCAACUGCUCAAACUCGCUAACCACCUUACUCAAAUGAUGACAAAACUAUGUUUGUAACGCCAUCACAUGGCAAACACAAGAUAAAGCAUCUGCCACCACAUUUGAUUUUCCUGAACGAUGCUCAAUAAGAAACUCCCAAAAUUCCAUAAGUUUGACCAUCCAACAAGCUUGCCUAGUGUUCAACUCCUUCUAUGUGAAAAGAUAUACAAAGGGUUUGUGAUUCGUCAACACUGUGAACACUGCAUCAUAAAGAUAGUGCCGCCACGUCCAUAAAGCAUAAACAAUGGAGAGUAACUCUUGCUCAUAUAUGGAAUAGCGUUGCUCUGCGGGUUUGAUUCUCAUAUGCAAUAGGCUGUCCCUCUUGCAUGAAAACUCCUCUCGGUGUAUAACCACUCGCAUCACAUAUAACUUCAUAAGGUUUUGAUAGAUCAGCAAUGUGAAGCACUGAAACCUCGCUCAACAACCGUUUCAAUGCCACAAAACUAUCCUCAUGUGGUUUCUUCCACUCGAAUGGCACGUUCUUAUGCAACAAUCGUGUCAAAGGAAUAGCCACCUCUGCAAACGUAUGCUGAAAAUGCCAGUAGUAACUAGCCAUACUAAGGGAAUUGCAUAACUUAGCCAUUGAAGUUAGUGUAAGUUAGUUCUCCACCACAGCCACCUUCCUUGGACCUGUCUUGAUACCCUUGGAUGUCAUAAUAUGGCCUAAAUAUUCCACCUCUGACUUUGCAAACUCAUAUUUGCUCUUCUUCAUAUAAAGUUUGAUGUUAUGGAGUAACAAAAGAACUUUGUGCAAAUGCACCUUAUUCUCUUCCAUAUUUUUGUUGAAAUGGACGUUGGUAAAUUGGCUGUGUCCCUGGCUCCAACAUAAUCCCAUACUCCACACCUCGUAAUGGAGGCAAUCCAUGAGAAAGUUUAGAGGGAAAAAUAUCAAAGAACUCUUCGAGUAUAGUUUGCACUACUGCCUCUCCUCCACAUGUGGCUUGGUCCCCCAAGUUAUGAACAAACAAUAAGUAACUCAAAAGUGUUUUUCAUUUAUGACAAGCCUGGUUCAAAGAUGUAGUAGAGAGCAUAACAACUAGAGGUUGAACUCCUCCAAACCACACAUCUUUAAUGCCACCAUACUCCAACAAGACACGUUUAAUACUCCACUUUAUCUCUGGAUUCACCUUCACCAAGUAUGACAUCCCAAGAAUGAACUACACAUGAUGAAGAUUUAUGAGAUAAAAAGUCUUCACAAAUGUGGUUUUGCCAACCAACAUUUCCAACCCUUAUGUAGAAGUAUUGAAACGCCAAGUAAAGGUAGUUGCACCUUUUACCAUAUAUGGAAGAACUUCUCAUGUUACCAGGCCAUGCUCCUCAACAAACUUUGUGGAAAUAAAGUUGUCAUCACUCCCACUGUCCAGUAAAAUUCACAUUGGACUACCAUGGAACCAGCAAGCUGAUGCAUGAGUGUCCUCGACCUUCAUCUUGUUCCACACAUAGUUAAGUUGACGAGCAACAAUCGAAAGCCUCUUCUUCCAAUUGGAAUGGUUGUCCUUGUUAUCCUUGCGCUGCAAAGUUUGCAACUUCUUAAUAUUUAACUUACCGUUAGUAGAAGAUUGGCCAUUCUUGAUGCCAUGUUAUUUGCUCUUCAUUGUGGACAAUCAGCCUUGUAGUGUCCUAGCUCGCAGCAAUGUUAACAACUUUGUCUAUAAUUCUUCAUAAAAGAUUUCUGCUUCUUUGACCCCUAUGUACCCGAAGUAGCCACCAUAAACUUCAGCUUGUGUUUUAUUCCCAUCCUAGUGUCCACAACAAUCAUCAUGUCGAUUCUCAACAGAAAGACUCCUCAAACGCUUGUGAGACUUAUACUUAUUAUUGUCAAUAAGCAACAUCAAAGAGCUCCUCCAAAUUCUUUGUACGUUGAGAAUGAUGCAAGUGUUGCCACAUGCUCUCACUAUGAAGGGCAUCAAUGAAGUAGGACUUGUUCUGAUCUGGAUCCUUCAUUAGAACACAAUUAAUUAAGUAAGUCAACUUCUCAAUAUAGUCCCAAGUUUCAUUUUCCCUUGCUGAAAAUGUCGAAGUUCGGUGUGAGCAUUCUCCACGUCAUAGUGAGGAGCAAAAUGUAAAUGGAAAGCAGCCUCAAACUCAUCCAUUGUAGAUACUAAUGGUUUCUUAUCUGCAGCACAAGACUCCUCAAGCUAAUUCCACACGCAAAACCAUUGAAAUAGCCACUAAAGCCUCUACAUUCGGAAUUCCUUUAGUAGCCAAAAACUUCUUUACAUUAGCUAGCCAAGCUAGACACUCAUCCACACCACCAUCACCGGAAAAGGUUGAAAUCUUGAGUUGAUCCAACCUUUUCUUCAUCAGCGAAUGGAAGUGUACGAAUUUGCAAGAGUGACCGGCAAUUCCCAGUUUAUUUUACUUCCUUUUCAGCCAUACAAGCUUAUUUAUGCGUUGAUGCUUGCUGAAGCUGGAAAGAUAAACAAAGCUUUAAGGUUGGAGUGAUUUUUAACUGUAUGCUUCGUUAACACAAGGUUUCUCUUCGAAGUAUUGCCAAGCGGUGUUGAAAACAUUGAAAACAGUGGGCCAUGCAGCUGAUGUGUGCAAAGAAGCGGCUGUAGCCUUGGAAGAGCGUCUUCAUAUCCACUCUCAGAUGUGUAAGCGGACACUCGGCUUUUAUACUCACUUUCCUGUUAUCCAGGGAGGCUCGAUGUCAAUUGUGCCCCCAAAAGCUUCCAAUAAUGCUGAUAUUAAUAACCGUCCCACAACAGCUUUUAGUAGAAGCAGUUAUCACUUGCCUCGUCAGCAUCAAUGGAACCCAUAAGUGAUAAUACGAGAAGAUCCAACAUGCUAGCAAGAAGCAUUUCUGAGACUGACUUUAGGCCUGCACAGGUAACUCGACUUGCUCUUGUGUACCUUCGAUUAAGACCUGUAUUCUUUCAUCAGAUCGUUAGUUCAGCGAAAGGAAUGCCAAACAGAGGCGUCUUUACUUCUUUCGUGCAAAGAGUGAUGGGCUUCAUAAAAACACCUUCGAAGGAGGUUUGUAGAAGCUUUGGAAAGAGCGCUAGCUGAUUGAUGGUCGGGUAUGUGAUGCAGGCAAAGCUUGUUGACAGCAACAAGUUUAGAUACGACGAGACACUGAAGCGCUGGGUUGGAGAAGGAGCCGAGGCACAAGCACCAGACCUUCCGUUGGCUCCUCCUCUGGAAUCCCACCAAUGCCUCCGAGCAGUAACCAGUACGCAGCUUGCGCACAUCAAAACGUUAGAUCAAGGUACCGUUUUGGUCAUUCCCAGCACUCCAAUCUCACGAGGUUUCUGUAGAUAUGUCGAUACAUUCAACAAAGGUAGCAUAACACCAUCCAAGACAUCAUCGGACUCUCCUCCACUGUUUGGCAUGGUGCCAAAGGCAAGCGCAAAGCCUUUGGCUCCAGAGAGAUUUUUAGUGCCUGCGGCCGCUGCUGCCGCUGCUCCAGAUAUCAACAGCAACCAUUCGGUGGAUCCUUCCUCGGCACCAGCCUUUGUCUCCGACACAGCGUUCUCAAACGGGAAUGGAGCAUUCGCUCAGCCGGUUGUACAGGAUAUGAGAAACGAUCCGAGGCCAACGCCUCUCUCGAGCAGCUCUUCGCCAGCAAUGUUCUAUUCGAAUCACUAUCCAGCAGCACCGUCGACCGUCUCGUUGCCGCCACCUCCAGCUCUGGAAGUCACUCUGCCAGUGAUGGUCGAGCAGCAGCAGCAAAACCAACACCAGGAAAGUUCGAUUCAUCGGCACCACUAUCAACAGUCCGGUACAGUGGGAUUCGAAGCUGCCAGUUCCUCCGGAGUGUUUGGAGACGACUUGCAAGAGGUGGAAUUGUAAAUCACACUCCACAAGUAAGUAGUGUUGCUGGGUGGAUUUUGGUAGAGCAGUGUAGCGAAGUAGUAGUGGUGGAAGGAGGAAUUUUGUUUUGGCUGGGGUGAUUCUUUGGAGCCACAAGCGAAGCGAGGAAGCUCCUUAAAGUUGCUAGAGAAAGGAAACUCUUUACAGUCUAACAAAUAAAAGCAAAGGCCUUGUGAUGAAUAUACCUCGAAUAAUCUCCCAUGGCGCGCGUAGCUCACAAGGCAUCGUCUUGGUGGGAUGAAACGCUGGUUGUCUACGCGCGGUGUGGGCAUUUGAAGGAAUCGAGAAGGAUCUUUGAUGCAUUGCCGGCCAAGAACAUCGCGUCGUGGACGGCGCUCGCGACCGCGUAUGCCGAGAGUGGGCAUCCGGGGGAGGCCAAGGCAGCGUUCGAUCGAAUGGCGGUGUGGGACGUAGUUUCCUCCACUGCGAUGGUCAAGGCGCUGGGCGAUUGCGGGCGGAUUGGAUCGAGAAAGGCGGUGUUCGAUGCGAUGCCCGAGAGGAACUGCAAGACGUGGGCGACGCUGCUGCGGGGAUUUGCUCGCGGCGGAGAGAUUGGGCGAGCGAGAGAAGUGCUGGAUCGGAUGCCCGACGAAUGUGGUAGCGUGGACGAUCCUCGUGCAGGGUUUCGCGCAGCGCGGGCGAGUGGGCGAUGCGAAGGCCGCGUUUGAUUCCAUGCCCGAGAAGAACAGCAUCACUCGCGCGGUGAUGCUCGUCAUGUUUGCGGAGAAUGGAUUCGUGGAGGAGGCGGAGGAUGUCUUCCAGGAGAUUGUCCACCGAAACGCGAUCCUCUGGGGGGCGAUGCACUGCUGCUAUGCCCAAAAUGGGGAUUUGAUUCAAGCCAAGAGUUUGUUUGAUAGGAUGCCUCAGCACAGCGUACUGUCGUGGACGAUUAUGAUCAAGUCAUACGCGCAAAAAGGUGAUGUUGAUCAAGGAAAACACUUGUUUGAAGAAAUGCCACACAGAGAUCUUGUUUCAUGGAACGCGAUAAUCGCUGUUUAUGCCCAGAGAGGUCGUUUCAAAGAGGCGAUCCGGGCGUUUUCUUUGGUUUGCUGCUGGGAUUCCUAUUCAUGGAACACAAUUCUAGUGGUAUAUGCUCUAGAUGCAAAUAUUCGUCAAGCUAAGAAAUCGUUCGAUGAGAUGCCAACUUGGAACUUGCUCUCCUGGAACACGAUUCUUGCAGCAUAUGCCCAGACCUGGCAUGCGUAUUCUGCGUUCCAGCUCUUUUGGGCGAUGUUUCUUCACGGCUUUGACCCGACAAGGCAGCGUUUGCCAUCGUUUUGACGGCGUGUAGCCAUCUGGGGCUCGUCAAGGAAGCAGUAAGCUACUUCACGGCAAUGAGCUUUGACAAUGGAUUGGAUCCUUCGCAAGGCCACUACACCUGCAUUGUUGAUGCUCUCCGACGACUAGGGCGAUUGAAAGAGGCCGAGGAUGUCCUGGAGAAUAUGCCUUUGCCAGCAGAUGGAGUUGCAUGGGCAACGUUUCUUAGCGCGUGCAAAAACCACGGGGAGAUGAAUUGAGGGAUGCAUGCUGCGGAAUUUACGUGCCAGUCCAGCCUUGUGAGUGAUGCAUUGCCUUAUGUGAUGCUGGAGAACAUCUUCAGAGCAGUUCAGACUUGAUUCUUCACUGUUUUGAUGUGUUGACCCAAAGAUCGAUCGUUGAUAUCCAGCCAUUCCGUGAGCCGCCCCAUCCCCCAUGGAUGGAGAGCGGGACGCACAGAGAUUUGGCAUAGGAGAGUCUUCAGAAAUCUAUCUGGAGUGUUAAGUGCAGUGGGUUUGCUAUAGCCAGCAACACAAGAUCCAAUGCUGCUGUUGUGAAUUUCAGCAGCAGCACUGCGCUCCUCCUGCUCCACAUCAGUGCCAUGCUAGGCGUAGCAAUCCAGAUUCUCAAGACCAUGCCGGUGAGAAUCUAUCAUGAGCUCCUGUUGAAAGUGGAAAGUAGUGGUGUGAAAAGCUUGCGUUUGAGGCGCGGGUGGGGAUGGGCUCAUUGAUACCUCGUUCCCAUUGCCUUCCUUGUAUCCUAUCUCCCUCAUUGCCUGACAUGCUUCAUAUGUUCUCCUCUCUGAGUUCCAUAUGUUAUCCUCUCCGCUGGGCCUCAGCCCAUUCUUGAUAUUUACGAAGGCUCCAUUGGAUGUUGGUACAGAGAAUUAAAUUUAAAGACAAUUGGCCCACUUUUAUGAUGGGCUUAAUCUAUGUUGAAUGGAUUGCUCUUUGCAAAGCAUGUAUGCAAGGCGAUUUUACAAGGAAAUUUAUCAAAUCUUCCGCAAAGUCAAUGCCAUACCUGUCAAGAACCAAAUCCUUGGAGAGCUUUAGGAAUUAGUAUAGGGAUAUAUAGGGAUGCAUAAUGAAGGAUAGUUAAGUAAUUUGAUGAUGAGAAGUUUGACAUGGCGCAAGCAGAGUGCGCCUCUCAAGGCAUCCAAAUCUAUGUUCUAGCUCCCAUUUGGAAAUAAGAAAGGUUACAAGUGCCAUUUCCUACUCAUCCAUUCCCUUUGAAAACUUUCUUUCUAUUCUGCAGGGUGGAGUUUUACAUAUAAUGUUGUUGUCACAAAUAAUUAUAAAGCAAGUAUAAGGGAAUAUUGCUUCUUCAAUGGCAACUAGCACUUUGUAAAAUGUUUUAUGACCAACUAUUCCCUUCUCUUCCAAUACCAUGGAAUAUAAGUAUAUGAAAAUUUUCAAAACUAUCAUGUUGGAGUACAAUCUUAAUCAUUCUUAAACUCUUAGGAACACUAGACUCAACUCUUCAGUUCCCUUUAAUCUUUCAGUCUAGCAUCAUUCCAAAUCCAGUAUUGGUAUUCAGAUUUAGAAUAUUGCACUAGCCUUUGGAGACAAGGAUAAUUAGUUGUUUUGAAUCCUUAGGAUCAUCCUCUAGUGAUUUCAAUCUACAUUGAGUUAUAAUGUAAAUAGAUUGCUACUUUGUCCUCUAUGACAUGCUAGAUGGAGAAAAAGUGUUAUAUAAGAUCAUAUUUUUUAUGCAUUCCCCAAGUAUUCUUUACAAUUCAAAUAUUUAUUUUGAUAGAUUUUUUUUCUGCAGGCUAUUUGCAAAAGAACACCAAACAGCUGAUUGCAUAAAUAGACGAUGAUGGUCACAUUAGCUUAUGGUUUCCAGACAUGCAAAUGAUUCUUUCACAAGGUGUAUGACCUAUUUGCACAUAUAUCAUAUUUUUAUAUUCUUUAUUUUUCCACAAUAAAUAUCUUUUAUAGCUUCAGUUUUGAGUAUUACUUCAGUUUUUGGUUUUCUUAAUAGACACUGCACAUGUGACUAUCACAAUCAAAUUGUGAUGGCCACAUCAGCAAUUUGAAGUAAUGUUGCCUUAGUACAUGUCACCAUCACUGUCAUUUUUUUAACAGUGGCAUUGUGACAGUGAAAUCAAUUUGAAUGUUUUUCAAAACUGGCCUAGCUAGUUGACCACCAUGAAACCUGCAAUAGAAGGUUAAAAUGUUGAUGUGGUAGUUAUUUCCUCCCGCCACUAUUGCUGACAUGUCAAUUCAUAGUUUUAGGGUCUUGAGCAGAAUGGGAGAGCAACAGUUGAAUGAUUUAAAGAUUAUGUUCUCCACUCAAUGUCAUUAAAAGUUUAUGUAUGAUGGUUCUCAAUUCAGCAGGGGGAAUUUUACUGCUCCCACUCCACCGAAGCCUUUGAAACCAACUAGAAAUUGGGGGCAUUGGUUUUUAAAUGAAUUGUUGGCUUUGAAUGAAGCAAAGAAGCAUGAUUUCUUCUUAUAGCAACGAGGUAACAUUCAGAAGAGGCACAAGACUACAAGUGUUCAUUGGUAGCAAGUUUCUAAGUAAGUUUUAGAUUUUUUAGACUUCCAGUCAUUCACUAAGUUUUCAGCUACUGUUUUACACAUGGUGUCAACCAUUUGCCUGGGCAAUGCCAAUCUCGUUGGGAGUAUAUCUACAAAGAGUUCAACAAAAUCAAGUCAUAUGAAUAUCAUGUUCCUACUGGUAAAAGCAAUACUGAAACAUGACAACAGAACAACAUCAUGAAGCUGAUUUACCACCAAAGUUCAAUGAUCAACUCUAUGCAAUGAUGGACGAGUGGCUUUAGGACUGUUAAAUUGUAAAUUCACAGAGACAAACUUAGGAAUUAAUGUCUUCACUACCUACAUCCCAACAAUCACUAUUACUGGCACCAAGAGCUUCACAACAACAAUCACUAUUACCUCCAUGUGGAGAAUCAAAGCCUAAAGGUAUUUUUUGUAGUUUUUGUUCAUAAUCACUUUUGGCAAUGACAUAAAAUAACAAUAAUCUUGAAAAGCAUAAUUCAGGCUAGCUGAGGAAAAAGUUCCGCACACACUUGCAAAACAGCUUGUAGGAGUGUUGUGUGACAACAAUGUGAGCCUCAUUGAUACAAUGGAAAAUAGGUAGAAGGAAAUUUGCUAUCAUAAUCUGAAGAAGGAAGAAUUCAUGGAGCAUACUUUAGUUGUGGAUAGCCAGAUGGUGAAGAAUGUGGAUCAAGUAACUCAAGCCUUGUUUGCAAUUGUUGAUUCUUUGGUAAGUCAAUUCAUUAUCUUAUUCAUGAACUUCACUUUUGUAGUUUAUAAUGUCACUGAUUACUAUCUCCAAAGCAACAAGAGAGAUGAUGAACUGAUGAAGAUGUGAUGAUUUACCUGAUCAACAAUUUUAGGCCCAGCAUUCCCAUCUUGCAUUGCCACUGCCAAUAUCCUUGGAUCGAUUCCAUCAAUUUAGAUAAAACAUUCUUGUUGGAAGGACACGAGCGUUCACGUAAAGCUGUUUGUAUCAGUUGUCUAGCAAUAGAAACAUGAAUGGAUCAGAGUUAGAUUGAAAGGAAAGAAAGAACUUUGCAAGAGUAAGUACCAAGAAUGCCACACUGCGAAAUGACAAUCUUUGUGUAUGGUUGAUUGAAUCCCCUCUCAGCAACCACUGCUCAGGUAUCACCUAUAAGCUUGGCAAUGCUAUGGGGAUUCAAGAUAAGAUUUUUCCCAAGGAACUAAGAGAAGAAAAUACAUACUGGAAGUAAAGAUUGCUUGUGUUAUCUUUGACCACCCUAGUACUUGCAAUCUUUCGGACAACAUCCAGGCCUUCUACCACUCGCCCUACCACCGAAUUCAUUGGGAAUUUCAAAGAAUUCGUUGGGAAACCAAGUAGGAUCCCAACUUCUAGUGAUAGAACAGCUUCAAUGGCCUCAAGCUACAUUCCCUUGCGUCAACAGCCUCAAGCUGCAUUUCCAAGCAUCUUCUGCAGUGCCAUUCCAAAUCAUUUUCUUCCCUCUUCCUCUUGCCGCCAGACGACUCAACACGCAAAACCCCCUUUAAUCAUUUAAAAACCUUCCUUAUGAGAAGAACGGAAACGAACCUGAAUGUUAGAAUCAGACCAACAUUGGCAGCAGCUGUGACUCUAAACUCAUCAUAGCCCCCUCUCUCUGCUCUCAGCCAGGUUCCCUGCUGCGCCCACCUUCAAGCCCUGUACUGAAAUCUCCAAAUUAAAACCCUGAAAAAUAAAACAAAACUUGAGUUUGUGAGCAUGCCAAAGCAAAUAAAUUUGUGAGCUUCAAGUGGAUUUGUUUAAGUCUACUACAUAAGUAAUGAGAAUGUUUCUAACCUCUGUAGCAGCGACAUGAGGCUCUAGUCGCUAGCCUUGUGGUUGAUUAGUCACUGGCUUAGGCUCAAUGUCUAUUUCCCCUAUGUCACCUAGAAGUUAUGCAGAAUGCAAGCUGUUUUUAUGGCAACUAUUAGUUGAGUGAUGGUCUCAAUUUUAACCAACUUUCUAAACAUCCUCCAACGACUUGUAAGCAAUCCAAAACUUCUCUCACAUACCAUCUUCAAAGAUGACAAGUAAAAGUUGAAUGCUUCCCUCAAUUUAGUUCCAUUUGCACUUGGAAAUGGUCCAACCAUGGAAGUUUAUAGUAUCCUGAGUCUCCAAUGAUAUAUUCCCAAAACUGGUAUUGGCCUCUUGAGACUAUUGGUCCGUUAAGAGUUUCACCUGAUUGAGCUCUUUUGUAGAAUGAACUCUUCCUCAAAAUAGUUAUGUCAUUGCAACUCCCAAGAUCUCCAACUCAAAUAUCCAAGAACCUUGCUUCACUAUCAAUGAUUGCUUGCAUGACAAUUGAGUUAUCUUUGUCCUUGUUGUAAUAAUCAUUUGCAAAAGUGUUUCUAGGAAGUUCAACUUUGAAAUACGUGCAGUCAAUUGCACCAUAGCAAUUCAAGAAGCCACAAAAACUCUCGAAACCUAUUUUUACUAUUGACAGAUCUACUAGCCACACAAGAAAUUGUCCUAGAUGCUGGAAUGUUGAGUUGGAGAACUUCUAACAAUACUUAUGGACAAUUGCUUUAGAAACACCAAAAUGCUUUAUCAACCUAGCAAAAGAAUCACCUAAAGCUAAUCUCCAUAAAGUAAUGGCAACUUGCUUACCAACAAGAACAUAUCUAGAUGGAAUGUUUUUCAAAUUUGGAGGUAGUGCUAUUUGCAUUGACAGAGCAACAAGUUCGCAGAUUGUCAUGAACUACUCCUAGAAACUUUGAAGAACUCUCUCUACCUUGUUGGAUCUUGCAUUCCAACCUCAUCCACCCAAUAACAAAACUAGUGAAGUGACCUUGGUCUGAUAUAGAAAUUUCCCUCUUAAAAGAAGUUCAAUUGCAAUCAACUCCCAACUACUGCCAAGCACAUGUGAUGAUACAUUAGCACUAAUUAUUGUUAAAGAGUAGCUUCAAGCCUUUCAUCCUCAAGAUUUUCUCUAAGACACCUUCUAGGUCUUCUAUAAGCAACAACCAACUGAUCAAUUGCAGCAGCAACCACAACAACCAUAGAAACCACAACCGUUGCCCUAUUCAUCCCACAUGAACCCUAAUGAUGUGGCAUUAAUCAAUAACAAAUCAGCACUAACUCAAUGGUAACUUGAUUUUAGAAUAUUCUAGAAUAAUUUGAUGUGGAUGAUGGUUACAUGUACAGCAUUUUAUCACCGUCACCGCACAGAAAAUGAUAGUGAUGGUCACAUAGCGUCUUUAAGCAAACCAAUAUAGGAUAUACCUGGGUAUUCUUGAAUAUUCUAUAAUCUAAUUGUUCAUAUUUAUUUAGACUAAUCUUGUGUUUAUAAAUUCAAAACAUUUUAAUAAUGGUCAUCACAUUGACUACAAAGAGUUGACUAUAUAGUUGACUGAUGGUUUCAGCAAAAAGAUGUUGUUUUGAGAACUACAUUGUAGUUCAAUAUUUGGACAUGUGUUUGUAGGUGUGAUUUUGUGGCAAGGAAGCAAGAGCAACAGGAGGUCCUCCAGACAAGCUAACUUCUCAAGUUUAACUAGCUGCCACCUAUAUGCAAGGGUACUUUCCACGAGCUCAAAGGGUAGAGGGCUAGCUUUUGAUUUUUUUUUGGUUGUUCUCUAGGCCCAAUUUGUUAGGAGUGAUGGAAAGAGACUGUUAUUGAUCAGACUAGGGAUUUCCAACCCAAAGCUAUGUUUCUCAUACCUAAAAAGUGUAUCCAUGAAAUAUAUAUAUAUCCUCUUGUGGUUUCUCUUGUAAACAAAAGACGAGUGCCUAAGGUUGUACAUAUCGAAGUACAAACCAAAGAAGCAGAUCAAUGGAUCUCCCCGUGAUGUGUCAAUCAGCAGUUGAACGAGGCAAGCAGCACAUACUUGAUCCUCUUCC